AACGAACGCUGGCGGCAGGCCUAACACAUGCAAGUCGAACGAACGUAGCAAUACGUGAGUGGCGCACGGGAGAGUAACACGUGGGAACCUACCUUUUGGUUUGGAAUAACGUCGGGAAACUGACGCUAAUACCGGAUAAGCCCUACGGGGGAAAGAUUUAUCGCCGAAAGAUGGGCCCGCGCUAGAUUAGCUUGUUGGUGAGGUAAUGGCUCACCAAGGCUACGAUCUAUAGCUGGUCUGAGAGGAUGACCAGCCUCACUGGGACUGAGACACGGCCCAGACUCCUACGGGAGGCAGCAGUGGGGAAUAUUGGACAAUGGGGGAAACCCUGAUCCAGCCAUGCCGCGUGAAUGAUGAAGGCCUCGGGUUGUAAGUUCUUUGGUAGGGACGAUGAUGACGGUACCUACAGAAUAAGCUCCGGCUAACUUCGUGGCCAGCAGCCGCGGUAAU
rnacentral:rRNA from 1 species